rnacentral:hammerhead_ribozyme from 1 species
GGCUGGCUGAGGAGUCCCAUAAUAGAACGAAACGGCAGUCCAGUGC